CAGCACUCUGGGAUCGCCUCCUGGGAACCAGGGGAACAUCUGGUGAAACGCAUUACAUAUUGAAGUGGGGGCACCAUCACGGUGGUGGUGGAGGAGGAAAUUCAGGCAGCUUUAACGGCAACAACGCAGGAGGUGGCAGCUUCAACGGCAAUGGG